rnacentral:rRNA from 1 species
UUAGUGGAAGCGUCUGGAAAGGCGCGCGAUACAGGGUGACAGCCCCGUACACAAAAGCGCAUGUGCUGUGAGCUCGAUGAGUAGGGCGGGACACGUGGUAUCCUGUCUGAAUAUGGGGGGACCAUCCUCCAAGGCUAAAUACUCCUGACUGACCGAUAGUGAACCAGUACCGUGAGGGAAAGGCGAAAAGAACCCCGGCGAGGGGAGUGAAAAAGAACCUGAAACCGUGUACGUACAAGCAGUGGGAGCCCCACCACCAAAGCAUUUGCUGUACCGCGUUGACGGAGCGAAGCGACGUCAAACCGAUAAAACAGCAGUGUAAAGUGAGCCGCAGGGCGCUUUGCGCGACAGCGCAAAGGCAGGCGGUUUCGCGUAGCGAAAGCGAAUGCUUUGGGGUGGGGUGACUGCGUACCUUUUGUAUAAUGGGUCAGCGACUUAUAUUCUGUAGCAAGGUUAACCGAAUAGGGGAGCCGGAGGGAAACCGAGUCUUAAUUGGGCGUUAAGUUGCAGGGUAUAGACCCGAAACCCGGUGAUCUAGCCAUGGGCAGGUUGAAGGUUGGGUAACACUAACUGGAGGACCGAACCGACUAAUGUUGAAAAAUUAGCGGAUGACCUGUGGCUGGGGGUGAAAGGCCAAUCAAACCGGGAGAUAGCUGGUUCUCCCCGAAAGCUAUUUAGGUAGCGCCUCGUGAAUUCAUCUCCGGGGGUAGAGCACUGUUUCGGCUAGGGGGCCAUCCCGGCUUACCAACCCGAUGCAAACUGCGAAUACCGGAGAAUGUUAUCACGGGAGACACACGGCGGGUGCUAACGUCCGUCGUGAAGAGGGAAACAACCCAGACCGCCAGCUAAGGUCCCAAAGUCAUGGUUAAGUGGGAAACGAUGUGGGAAGGCCCAGACAGCCAGGAUGUUGGCUUAGAAGCAGCCAUCAUUUAAAGAAAGCGUAAUAGCUCACUGGUCGAGUCGGCCUGCGCGGAAGAUGUAACGGGGCUAAACCAUGCACCGAAGCUGCGGCAGCGACACUGUGUGUUGUUGGGUA